GACGAACGCUGGCGGCGUGCUUAACACAUGCAAGUCGAACGAAGUGGCGAACGGGUGAGUAAUAUGUGAGUAACCUACCCUCCUUUUUGGGAUAAGCCUUGGAAACGGGGUCUAAUACCGAAUAAAGGGGGAUGGUCUCGCGGCCUAUCAGCUUGUUGGUGGGGUGAUGGCCUACCAAGGCGGUGACGGGUAGCCGUCCUGAGAUGGUGACCGGUGAAAGUGGGAAUGAGGGACGGCCCAGAGUCCUACGGGAGGCAGCAGUUGGGGAUAUUGCAGAAUGGGCGAAAGCCUGAUGCCGCGACGCUGCGUGAGGGAUGAAGGCUUUCGGUUUGGAAACCUCUUUCUCUAUCGAAAGGGUAGGUGGAGAAGAAGCGCCGGCUAACUACGUGCCAGCAGCCGCGGUAAUUC
rnacentral:rRNA from 1 species